CCUACGGGUGGCAGCAGUGAGGAAUAUUGGUCAAUGGACGCAAGUCUGAACCAGCCAUGCCGCGUGCAGGACGACGGCUCUAUGAGUUGUAAACUGCUUUUGUACGAGGGUAAAACGCUAUACGUGUAUCUGUCUGAAAGUAUCGUACGAAUAAGGAUCGGCUAACUCCGUGCCAGCAGCCGCGGUAAUACGGAGGAUUCAAGCGUUAUCCGGAUUCAUUGGGUUUAAAGGGUGCGUAGGGGGUCCGUUAAGUCAGCGGUAAAAUUGCGGGGCUCAACCCCGGCGAGCCGUUGAUACUGGUAGACUAGAGUUGGCGAGAAGUACGCGGAAUGCGCGGUGUAGCGGUGAAAUGCAUAGAUAUCGCGCAGAACUCCGAUUGCGAAGGCAGCGUACCGGCGCCAGACUGACGCUGAGGCACGAAAGCGUGGGGAUCGAACAGGAUUAGAUACCCGGGUAGUC
rnacentral:rRNA from 1 species